GCUUCUUUUUGAUCAGUUACAUUUCUGUUGGUUAUGAAUAUGGUAUUGAAUUGACUUACCCAGAUUUGGAAAUUAUAUCGGCAAGUUUACUUACACUUUCAGCUAUGGUAUUUGGAAUUGCUUUAACUGAAAUAUCUUCUUUUAUAAUGACAAACGUAAGUGUUCUCGCUUCUAAUGGAGUUUUGUGCAUCAAUCUGUUCUUUUGUUGCAUUUUGUCAAGUUUCAUGACAACUGAAUAUAAAAGAAGCAAGAAAAAUGUUGGUGAGACUGUUCCUGCCCCUUAAAAUCGCAUACAUUUUAUUCUCUUGAAAAACCGAGAAAAUUAUUUUUUGAUGUGAUGAGUUGACAUUGGAUUUCAUGUUCUCUGUGAUGUCAGAUAUAAUUUGUAAUCGAUAAUGAUAUUAGAAGAUAAGAGGAUGAUCUUUUAUCUAAUAUAAUAAGAUAUAAUUUGAUUUUGAAAAAAAAUGGAAGCUAUCUUGAAAGCAAUUAAUUUGUUUAAUUUUAUGUAUACUAUUAUGACAUGUUUCAGAUAUAAUAUUAGAAUUUUUUAUUGUUUAUAUACAGAAAAUAAAGGUGCUGAUGCCAGAUCUACUGAUUGAAUUAAGUGUACUUCUUCGAAGUUUUGUUUCAAACAACGUUCACGGAUACAGGAAGCAAACAUUUUAAAAGCAAUAGAUAAUGCCUCAUCUUUCUUUUGAAUGACAAAUUUUUGAACAUCAUAGUUGACAAAAUGAAACUUUCUUUAGAGUUGAUAUCAAACUAAAAGAUUUUGUGACAGAAAAAUACCAUUUAAUGCUUUAUUUCAGGAGACAAUCAGAAGCUUUCUUCAAGCAAAUAUUUAUCACA